AGAGUUUGAUCCUGGCUCAGAGUGAACGCUGGCGGCAUGCCUAACACAUGCAAGUCGAACGGCAGCACAGCAGUAGCAAUACUGUGGGUGGCGAGUGGCGGACGGGUGAGGAACACAUCGGAAUUUGCCCAGUCGUGGGGGAUAACGUAGGGAAACUUACGCUAAUACCGCAUACGACCUAACGGUGAAAGCGGGGGAUCGCAAGACCUCGCGCGGAUGGAUAAGCCGAUGUCGGAUUAGCUAGUUGGUGGGGUAAAGGCCUACCAAGGCGACGAUCCGUAGCUGGUCUGAGAGGAUGAUCAGCCACACUGGGACUGAGACACGGCCCAGACUCCUACGGGAGGCAGCAGUGGGGAAUAUUGGACAAUGGGGGCAACCCUGAUCCAGCAAUGCCGCGUGUGUGAAGAAGGCCUUCGGGUUGUAAAGCACUUUUGUCCGGAACGAAACGUGCGGGGUGAAUAGCCUCGUAAACUGACGGUACCGGAAGAAUAAGCACCGGCUAACUUCGUGCCAGCAGCCGCGGUAAUACGAAGGGUGCAAGCGUUACUCGGAAUUACUGGGCGUAAAGCGUGCGUAGGCGGUUGGUUAAGUCUGAUGUGAAAGCCCUGGGCUCAACCUGGGAAUGGCAUUGGAUACUGGAAAGCUGGAGUGCGGUAGAGGGUAGUGGAAUUCCCGGUGUAGCAGUGAAAUGCGUAGAGAUCGGGAGGAACACCAGUGGCGAAGGCGGCUACCUGGACCAGCACUGACACUGAGGCACGAAAGCGUGGGGAGCAAACAGGAUUAGAUACCCUGGUAGUCCACGCCCU
rnacentral:rRNA from 1 species